AUUGAACGCUGGCGGCAUGCUUUACACAUGCAAGUCGAACGGUAACAGGUUAAGCUGACGAGUGGCGAACGGGUGAGUAAUGCAUCGGAACGUGCCCGAUCGUGGGGGAUAACGCAGCGAAAGCUGCGCUAAUACCGCAUACGAUCUGAGGAUGAAAGCGGGGGACCGUAAGGCCUCGCGCGAUCGGAGCGGCCGAUGUCAGAUUAGGUAGUUGGUGGGGUAAAGGCUCACCAAGCCAACGAUCUGUAGCUGGUCCGAGAGAACGACCAGCCACACUGGGACUGAGACACGGCCCAGACUCCUACGGGAGGCAGCAGUGGGGAAUUUUGGACAAUGGGCGAAAGCCUGAUCCAGCAAUGCCGCGUGCAGGAAGAAGGCCUUCGGGUUGUAAACUGCUUUUGUACGGAGCGAAAAGGUCUCCUCUAAUACAGGGGGCUCAUGACGGUACCGUAAGAAUAAGCACCGGCUAACUACGUGCCAGCCGCCGCGGUAA
rnacentral:rRNA from 1 species